CGGGAGGGCGCUUACCACUUUGUGAUUCAUGACUGGGGUGAAGUCGUAACAAGGUAACCGUAGGGGAACCUGCGGUUGGAUCACCUCCUUA
rnacentral:rRNA from 16 species